rnacentral:snRNA from 1 species
GCUCCUUGUUUGCCUUUUGGCUUGGAUCAAGUGCAGUAGCAGUUCUUUUUAGUUUAAUCUCUAGAACGCCCCUACGGGGGCUUUUUCGAUUAAUCUACUUUUUGGAUCCCGGCCGGUGGCCUCUUGGGCACCGCCCGUUGCCACUGGUCACAGUGUCGCCUCUAUUGCACUGUCUGAGGCUGAUGCGAACUUUU